AGUGAACGCUGGCGGUAGGCCUAACACAUGCAAGUCGAACGGCAGCACAGUAAGAGCUUGCUCUUACGGGUGGCGAGUGGCGGACGGGUGAGGAAUACAUCGGAAUCUACUUUUUCGUGGGGGAUAACGUAGGGAAACUUACGCUAAUACCGCAUACGACCUACUGGUGAAAGCAGGGGAUCUUCGGACCUUGCGCGAUUGAAUGAGCCGAUGUCGGAUUAGCUAGUUGGCGGGGUAAAGGCCCACCAAGGCGACGAUCCGUAGCUGGUCUGAGAGGAUGAACAGCCACACUGGAAGUGAGACACGGUCCAGACUCCUACGGGAGGCAGCAGUGGGGAAUAUUGGACAAUGGGCGCAAGCCUGAUCCAGCCAUACCGCGUGGGUGAAGAAGGCCUUCGGGUUGUAAAGCCCUUUUGUUGGGAAAGAAAAGCAGCAGGUUAAUACCCCGCUGUUCUGACGGUACCCAAAGAAUAGGCACCGGCUAACUUCGUG
rnacentral:rRNA from 1 species